UUGUAUUUAAACUGUAUGCUUUGGAUUGCAUAAUUUGUAACAGGUAAUUAUAUUGUCUUCCUGGUUACUGUUAAUCUCUUAGGAUGUGGUCUUCAACAGGUAGUUCUGCAGGUGCUGAAUGCCUCAUUCCUUCUUUUUUUUUCUGAUGGGAACUGAAGGUGUUCAACAUCUACCAAGGUCUGGGUUGACCUUCCUUUAAUUUAUGGCACUGUUUUCUCAGAUGGCCAAAGCAAGUAGAUACGGUUCUUUCCAUACAAGGGCUGGAGGUACUUCCAUAGGUCGGAGGGAGUAUGCAGAACUCCUCCAGGGCCUUUUGGAAAGUGUAGUCCAGGUCUCUGUUUGCGUGCUGUCGGAGCAGGAGGCGCUGACUGCGAUUUCCGCUCCAGAGCCGGAGGAGUGAGGGCACAGGUCAUAGAGGAGUCCCUACAAAAUGACGCAUGCUGAAGAUUUUCAGAACAAUGCAAAGGGAUUCAGCUGCCCAUUUCCUGCUGACGUGAAUGGAAGGGGUGCGAUGAAUGCACAGUGUUGGAAAAGUCAACCCAGGGAGAUAAAACACUAUUUUCAAAAAAUGCUCUACCCAUCCUCCACUUCGUGUCCGGUCCUGCAAGGGAGAAAAGUGUCCUCUGCAUCUUUCAGUCGCUUCCCACAGGGAUGCUUGGCACCAUGCAGGACCGGGAUCCAGAAAAAGUGCAAUCGUCUUUAGUUUGUGAACCUUCUGGCAAGGAAAUAACAUUAUUUCUAACAGUGAACAUGCUCCUUAUUUGAGCUUUGGUAUUACACUGCCAAGCCCAACAGAGGAACAUUUGCAGAUUUGCAAAAAUGGGAUUCAGUGAAUACAUUAUGAAUACAUUAACUUUUUCAAAGUCUCAGCCUCCAGAGGACAGUGAAGAAGGCUAUGUUUUCCUCUCCCAGAUAGUAAUUAAAUCAGAAAUCCUACACUUGGAGGUCUGACUGCUUUUUAAAAUAAUUUAGUAGUCGAUAAUAAGUCUUUAAUGAUUAUGCUUCAAGUUGGGAACUUUGUCCUCUGAAACUGUUCUGUUGUUUAUUUAUCCAGCCACUUGCUUUCUUCUAGGCAAGUUUGGCAGACAUAGUCCAUGAUAACUCACGUGCUGCUCGCAAGCUAAUUUAAGCUAAUAAAAAAUAACCGUAUGAUAGCAAAGUACUCAGCUGGGAGGAGACCUUUUCAUCCUAUCCAGCAAUGCACAUUUGAGUCAGAUGCAGGCACUGGAUAAAUGCUUUGCAAGGAUACCUAGGAUUUCCUUAGGAUGUGUCCAGAGAAGGUGGACCUGAGGA
rnacentral:lncRNA from 1 species